CUGAUUGGCAUAAUGUCGACGUUGACCAAGUUGAUAUGCCUCAUGUAGACAGUAAUGAAAUGUUGACAUGUUAGAAUGUCCACUUAUCGUCCCUGGUGGACCAGCAGCAACUUACCUUCUCCUAACGCUGCAGCAGCGUCUUCCGGGUCUCAGCAGUCAUGUGACCAUAACUUUCAGGUCAGACCUCUGAUCCUCCGGCGUUUGUUAGGAUUCAAGUACCAAGAAUGUCGCAGCAUAGCAACAAGAUAAGGGUGUCACAACCCUGAACAGAUAGGACAAUGCAUGCGGAAGAGGCUCGGUUUCAGGGUUCCCCACCAACAUCACUGCUUUAUAUGACCGUAACACAACAACAUGGGGUCCAUCGUCAUCAGACAACAUUUGUAUGGAGAGCACUUGGUGGUUCCACCGUGGUAUCCCAGAGAUGGUGGUUUGUCCAGAACAUUAGAGCUGUACAGAAAGAACUUGCGAUAUAUAGAACAGAUGGUGAACACGAGGUUGGGAGUUGUAGUGCAACAAACAGAUCCUGGCUGCAGAGAGAUAAAGCCAGCCACAUAGUAACAGCAUGAGAGACAACGUGUUCACAAAUCGCAAAAUAACGACAUCUUCAGGAACAAAAACACAUUAUUCAAGAAGCCUGCUUUUAUGAACAGUGUAUAUUAACAGUACAAAAAAAAAAAAAAAAUCUAAUGAAACAAAAUAAUAAUAUGUUUGAGUCCCAAACCCUUAACUGAAGUCUAUG